rnacentral:rRNA from 1 species
UACAGAGGUGGCAAGCGUUGUUCGGAAUUACUGGGCGUAAAGGGCGCGUAGGCGGCCUUCUAAGUCAGACGUGAAAUCCCCCGGCUUAACCGGAGAACUGCGUCUGAUACUGGAUGGCUUGAGAUUGGGAGAGGGAUGCGGAAUUCCAGGUGUAGCGGUGAAAUGCGUAGAUAUCUGGAGGAACACCGGUGGCGAAGGCGGCAUCCUGGACCAACACUGACGCUGAGGAGCGAAAGCCAGGGGAGCAAACGGG